rnacentral:lncRNA from 1 species
CUUCAUCUAUGCCGCAGUCAGGGUCUGAGAGACGACUGAUUAUGUCUGGAAGCAGGUUAUAGAUGGCGUUAUCCUUGUUGGAGAGUUCAUUGAAAAAGUUUUGAGCCACUCCCACAAUUGCUUCCUCUGGGUCUAUAAGCAGAACUGCCAUCUCACUCACUUGGCCUUUCACCUUUACCAUGUCUUUGAGGAUGAGGUGAGUCAUCACCACUCCAGCUGUCUGCCUCACACUUU